ensembl:lncRNA
GAGCUCAAAAAUACUGUUUUAUUGAUGUCAAAUAUGAUGCUCAGAAGUGAUACACAAACAGAACAAAACUAAACUGGAGUAAACUCAGAACGCACAGGGAAAGACAGCAUAAGUGGGAAACCAACAUUAACAACUCGACGCUGAACACAGGACUGCAUGCUUCGGAGUCCUCCAAAUGCGGUCAACAAAUGCGCCCUUCAUUUCCCGAGAUUUGAAGGAUGGGUCCGGUGUAGAGUUCGUGACCCAAUCUAUCACACAAUACAUAGUGCUGUAGUGGGUGUGGAUAUUUUUCUCAGAACAAAAAAAACGGCGGAUGGCUGAAGCGGGGUGGACGAAGAGUAAACUUUUAAAACUUAUCACACAUUUGAUUUCAAUGUGUGACAACUGCAAGUGUCCAGAGUGAGGACAGACUGAGGGACCCACUGCUGCACAUCAUCUGUGAGGCUUUGCACCCCUGAUGAUCCACCAGGACAAACUCAGCAGUGUGUGAGGAAGAGGAGGAGGAAGAGCCAGCAGCAGCUGACAGAUGGAGAGAAUAGACAGACUGUUCCCUGUUUGUGAAGGACUGCUAGGAAAGUUUAACAUAACUAAUUGUCUGUCCUGAAUCAGUCUUAUUAGGUAAUGUUCAAAUAAUGUUAUCAUCCCAGUGUUUUCAGUGUGGGAGAAAGUACUCAGGGCCUUCAAGUUACACACUAUGAAAGGCAGCAACAAGUUUCAUAUUCAGAAACCUAAAGUAUGUAUCAGCAGCAGAAUGGAGCUAAAAAUAAACAUUUGUUUCAGUUCUAUGAAGCUUUGAGUAUUUGUGAUUAGUAGCACUGCUGUGUUUGUUGCAUCAUAUUGCUGUAAUUGUUUAUAUGCUUUAUAUAUUCUGAGGUAAGUUGAUCUAUAGUGUUACAUCAUAUUCUAUAAGGAUGUUAUGUGUUUGUAUACUUUCUGCCCAGUUUGACCCAUUUAGCAGAAGUCAGCCUGUUUAAGGCUCUGAUAUCUAUUCUGUAUGACUUAAAGCAGUUAUGACAUGGUCUGAUUUUAUCACCCAAUAAAGGAAUAUUUCAUAUAUCAGUCUGAUCUUCAUUCUAUCAGAAACAGUUAUCACAGCUCGUACAUUUGCUUUUUACACAUAUAUAUAAGCAUUGAGCCAAAUUUAGUAAUGCCAACAUACUGAAGGAACAACAUUUGUCUCUUAUAUAUAAUACAUCUAUAUAUACACUGUCAGAGAUACUUGUCUUUGAGUGAAGAUUUAAGGUGAUAGGAAAUAUAAAUAACUGCAACUUGAAUCUUUACUGAAGCUCAGUAUUUGACACAGAGUUCACUCACAUGAAUUUCACUCACAUGUGCUGUACCAGUGUACCUGCACAUGUGAUGUGACAAUAAAAGUGAUUUGAUUUUAAAAGUGAACUCCAUAGUUCUUGAUUCUAUGGAGAUUAACAGUAAUCCAGAAAUUUACAAAGUUGUCCCUGGGCCAUCGUGUUAAUGUUGUCCCUGGGACAUCAUGUUAAUGUUGUCCCUGGGACAUCGUGUUAAUGUUGUCCCUGGGACAUCGUGUAAAUGUCGUCCCUGGAACAUCAUGUUAAUGUUGUCCCUGGGCCAUCGUGUUAAUGUUGUCCCUGGGCCAUCGUGUUAAUGUUGUCCCUGGGACAUCGUGUAAAUGUUGUCCCUGGAACACCGUGUAAAUGUUGUCCCUGGAACACCGUGUAAAUGUUGUCCCUGGAACACCGUGUAAAUGUUGUCCCUGGAACACCGUGUCCCUGGGAGACCGUGUAAAUGUUGUCCCUGGGACACCGUGUAAAUGUCGUCCCUGGAACACCGUGUAAAUGUUGUCCCUGGAACACCGUGUCCCUGGGACACCGUGUAAAUGUUGUCCCUGGGACACCGUGUAAAUGUCGUCCCUGGGACAUUGUGUUAAAGUU